GUGUCAGCAGCCGCGGUAAUACGGAGGGUGCAAGCGUUAUCCGGAUUCACUGGGUUUAAAGGGUGCGUAGGCGGGCAGGUAAGUCCGUGGUGAAAUCUCUGAGCUUAACUCAGAAACUGCCAUGGAUACUAUUUGUCUUGAAUAUUGUGGAGGCAAGCGGAAUAUGUCAUGUAGCGGUGAAAUGCUUAGAUAUGACAUAGAACACCCAUUGCGAAGGCAGCUUGCUACACAAUGAUUGACGCUGAGGCACGAAAGCGUGGGGAUCAAACAGGAUUAGAUACCCUGGUAGUCC
rnacentral:rRNA from 1 species